rnacentral:sRNA from 1 species
CCGUUCCCAUGCCCCUGCAGCAGCAGCAGGAGAUGCUGGCAGCCAAGCAGCAGCAGGAGAUGCUGGCAGCCAAGCGGCAGCAGGAGCUGGAGCAGCAGCGGCAGCGGGAGCAGCAGCGGCAGGAAGAGCUGGAGAAGCAGCGGCUGGAGCAGCAGCUGCUCAUCCUGCGGAACAAGGAGAAGAGCAAAGAGAGUGCCAUUGCCAGCACCGAGGUAAAGCUGAGGCUCCAGGAAUUCCUCUUGUCGAAGUCAAAGGAGCCCACACCAGGCGGCCUCAACCAUUCCCUCCCACAGCACCCCAAAUGCUGGGGAGCCCACCAUGCUUCUUUGGACCAGAGUUCCCCUCCCCAGAGCGGCCCCCCUGGGACGCCUCCCUCCUACAAACUGCCUUUGCCUGGGCCCUACGACAGUCGAGACGACUUCCCCCUCCGCAAAACAGCCUCUGAACCCAACUUGAAAGUGCGUUCAAGGCUAAAACAGAAGGUGGCCGAGCGGAGAAGCAGUCCCCUCCUGCGUCGCAAGGAUGGGACUGUUAUUAGCACCUUUAAGAAGAGAGCUGUUGAGAUCACAGGUGCCGGGCCUGGGGAUGCUCCCUCAGCACCGAGCCCUCCCUCUGGACAGCUCCCCCAACCAGUUCAGCCUCUACACGUCUCCUUCUCUGCCCAACAUCUCCCUAGGGCUGCAGGCCACGGUCACUGUCACCAACUCACACCUCACUGCCUCCCCGAAGCUGUCGACACAGCAGGAGGCCGAGAGGCAGGCCCUCCAGUCCCUGCGGCAGGGUGGCACGCUGACAGGCAAGUUCAUGAGCACAUCCUCUAUUCCUGGCUGCCUGCUGGGCGUGGCACUGGAGGGCGACGGGAGCCCCCACGGGCAUGCCUCCCUGCUGCAGCAUGUGCUGUUGCUGGAGCAGGCCCG